GCAUCUCAUCAACCUUCUGCACACCUGGUCCUGAUCUUCACCUCUUCUUAAACCCUGAGCUGACAUCCAUUCCCUGCCGGAUCGUUAGCAACGAACAUCAUUCUCCCGGAACAUUCAACUCCCUUGCCUGGCCGUCGGUGGAUACAGUGACUUCAUUGGAUCAACCCAUUUACUCUCAUCAACUCACCUCCGCUGCCGCUCCGCCUCCUGGAUUAUUCAAUUUACACAUCAAGACUACCAAUAAAUACUCACCUUCAUUUUA